rnacentral:snoRNA from 1 species
CCUAUCGACAAUGAUGGGAUGAUAUCCUAUAUUCUGAACGGUCUUGAUUUCGAAUAUAAUCCUAUUGUUUCUUCUAUUUUGGGUCGGUCAGAUCCAAUCUCUAUGAAUGAUCUCUAUGCUCAAAUCAUGGCCUAUGAGA